AGAAUCAACGCUGGCGGCGUGCCUAACACAUGCAAGUCGAACGAGAAAGUGGAGCAAUCCAUGAGUAAAGUGGCGCACGGGUGAGUAACACGUGACUAACCUACCCUUGAGUGGGGGAUAACCUAGGGAAACCUGGGCUAAUACCGCAUAAUACCUACGGGUCAAAGGAGCAAUUCGCUUAAGGAGGGGUCGCGGCCGAUUAGUUAGUUGGCGGGGUAAUGGCCCACCAAGACUGUGAUCGGUAU
rnacentral:rRNA from 1 species